ACAAACUUGGUCAUUUAGAGGAAGUAAAAGUCGUAACAAGGUUUCCGUAGGUGAACCUGCGGAAGGAUCAUUAGAGAACCGAAAGGCCCGGUGGGCUCUGUGCUGGCGCCCCGCGCACGUGCACGCCCCCGCCGCGGCCGUUCUUUCCUCACACCUGUGCACACGCCCGUCGGGCACGGCGCCGCCGCGCCGCCCGGCUCUUUUCACAUCAGCCCUGUAGAGUGUCGAAAGCGACUGCGCUUGCGCAACCUUUAUACAACUUUUAACAACGGAUCUCUUGGUUCUCGCAUCGAUGAAGAACGCAGC
rnacentral:misc_RNA from 1 species